AGUGAGGAGUGUCUGGGUGCUUUAGGUGCACGCUUAGCUUUACAUGGACGACCAGGAUGCAAAUGCCACAGAGUUCAAGGAACGGCUUGACUCACUAAAACCAUUGGCAGUCCCAUAUCUUUGCGUUCUCUCAUUACCAAAAAAACAAAACAAUCCGGCUGUUGGAGAAUCUCUGGAAGCUCCACUUGUGGUUGCCACUCCUCGGAAAGUCAGCUCCUCUCGGGAAGACGACUAUGAUGAUAAACAUUUUGUAUCUGAAACUUUCGAUGUUUGUUUUGUAAUGAAGUUGGCUUGAGUAACGUUUGACUUCGUUGUCUUUAUGU